GCAACGAUGCAUAGCCGACCUGAGAGGGUGAUCGGCCACAUUGGGACUGAGACACGGCCCAAACUCCUACGGGAGGCAGCAGUAGGGAAUCUUCCACAAUGGACGAAAGUCUGAUGGAGCAACGCCGCGUGAGUGAUGAAGGUUUUCGGAUCGUAAAACUCUGUUGUAAGGGAAGAACAAGUACGUUAGGAAAUGAACGUACCUUGACGGUACCUUAUUAGAAAGCCACGGCUAACUACGUGCCAGCAGCCGCGGUAAUACGUAGGUGGCAAGCGUUGUCCGGAUUUAUUGGGCGUAAAGCGCGCGCAGGUGGUUUCUUAAGUCUGAUGUGAAAGCCCACGGCUCAACCGUGGAGGGUCAUUGGAAACUGGGGAACUUGAGUGCAGAAGAGGAUAGUGGAAUUCCAAGUGUAGCGGUGAAAUGCGUAGAGAUUUGGAGGAACACCAGUGGCGAAGGCGACUGUCUGGUCUGUAACUGACACUGAGGCGCGAAAGCGUGGGGAGCAAACAGGAUUAGAUACCCUGGUAGUCCACGCCGUAAACGAUGAGUGCUAAGUGUUAGGGGGUUUCCGCCCCUUAGUGCUGCAGCUAACGCAUUAAGCACUCCGCCUGGGGAGUACGACCGCAAGGUUGAAACUCAAAGGAAUUGACGGGGGCCCGCACAAGCGGUGGAGCAUGUGGUUUAAUUCGAAGCAACGCGAAGAACCUUACCAGGUCUUGACAUCCCAGUGACCGCUCUAGAGAUAGAGUUUUCCCUUCGGGGACAUUGGUGACAGGUGGUGCAUGGUUGUCGUCAGCUCGUGUCGUGAGAUGUUGGGUUAAGUCCCGCAACGAGCGCAACCCUUAAUCUUAGUUGCCAUCAUUUAGUUGGGCACUCUAAGGUGACUGCCGGUGACAAACCGGAGGAAGGUGGGGAUGACGUCAAAUCAUCAUGCCCCUUAUGACCUGGGCUACACACGUGCUACAAUGGACGGUACAAAGAGUCGCUAACUCGCGAGAGUACGCUAAUCUCAUAAAACCGUUCUCAGUUCGGAUUGUAGGCUGCAACUCGCCUACAUGA
rnacentral:rRNA from 1 species